AUGAUCUCUGCUAGCUCUGGCGACCUCUAUCCCUUCUUCGGCAAUAACAAGUCUUUGAGCACUGCCCUCUCCGCCACCGUCUCCACCACGGACGUGUGGCACCGCCUGCUCGGCCACCCAAGCCCUCAAGCGCUCUCGUCAUUAGCUGCUCAUGAUUUCCUUUCCUCUUGUAAUAAUAAUGUGCACACUCCAUGUGCCGCUUGUCAACUAGGACGCCAGCCUCGUCUCCCCUUUCCCUCCUCUAGUAGCCGCACGUUUGCACCUUUUCAGUUAAUACAUUGUGAUUUAUGGACAAGCCCUGUUGUAAGCUUUUCUGGAUAUCAAUACUAUCUGAUUUUGCUCGACGACUACACCCAUUAUUCUUGGUCCUUUCCACUACGCCACAAGUCGGACACCUCCUCCACACCGCAACGCUUUUUCUCCUACGUUCGCACCCAAUAUAAUGUGAUCAUCAAAGCAUUACAAUGUGAUAACGACGGUGAGUUUAUCAACUCCACCUUGCGCACUUUCUUCUCCACCAAUGUAAGAGGAAGGCCUUGCAAUGUCGUGCGGUCGCAAACGCUAUAG
rnacentral:rRNA from 1 species